rnacentral:rRNA from 1 species
UGCGUAGGCGGCUUUUUAAGUCGGAUGUGAAAUCCCCGAGCUUAACUUGGGAAUUGCAUUCGAUACUGGUUGGCUAGAGUGUGGGAGAGGAUGGUAGAAUUCCAGGUGUAGCGGUGAAAUGCGUAGAGAUCUGGAGGAAUACCGAUGGCGAAGGCAGCCAUCUGGCCUAACACUGACGCUGAGGUGCGAAAGCAUGGGGAGCAAACAGGAUUAGAUACCCUGGUA